GACGAACGCUGGCGGCGUGCUUAACACAUGCAAGUCGAGCGGUAAGGCCCUUUCGGGGGUACACGAGCGGCGAACGGGUGAGUAACACGUGGGUGACCUGCCCUCAGCUCUGGGAUAAGCCCGGGAACUGGGGUCUAAAUACUGGAUAUGACUCCACGGUGCCAUGCCGUGGGGUGGAAAGCCUUGUGCGGCUGAGGAUGGGCCCGCGGCCUAUCAGCUUGUUGGGUGGGGUGAUGGCCUACCAAGGCGACGACGGGUAGCCGGCCUGAGAGGGCGACCGGCCACACUGGGACUGAGACACGGCCCAGACUCCUACGGGAGGGCAGCAGUGGGGAAUCUUGCGCAAUGGGCGAAAGCCUGACGCAGCGACGCCGCGUGAGGGAUGA
rnacentral:rRNA from 1 species